CAGAGCGUAGCUAAGACAGAAAAGCAUCUCCCUUACACUGAGAAGUCCCCCGUGCAAAUCGGAGCGCCCUGACGCCCAACAGCUAGCCCCCUAAAACCAGAACCAACAAACCAACAUUAAUACCCCUUAAUACACUAUUACUGUAUUAAACAAACCAUUUUUCCCCCUAAGUAUGUGCGACAGAAAAGGGUCUGUGGAGCAAUAGAGAAAGUACCGCAAGGGAACGCUGAAAGAGAAGUGAAACAACCCAGUGAAGCCUAAAAAAGCAGAGAUUUAGCCUCGUACCUUUUGCAUCAUGAUUUAGCCAGUGUAACCCAAGCAAAGCGUGCUUUAGUUUGAUAACCCGAAACUAAGUGAGCUACUCCAAGACAGCCUAUUAAUAGGGCAAACCCGUCUCUGUGGCAAAAGAGUGGGAAGAGCUUUGAGUAGAGGUGACAGACCUACCGAACUUAGUUAUAGCUGGUUGCCUGAGAAUUGGAUAGAAGUUCAGCCUCCCGAAUUCUUAGCUCCUCUCAGUUUUACCCCUCCUGAUACCUUAAGAAGUCGAGAGAGUUAGUCAAAGGGGGUACAGCCCCUUUGAAUCAAGAUACAACUUUCCCAGGAGGGUAAAGAUCAUAAUUAUAGAAGGUAAAAUAUCUUGGUGGGCCUAAAAGCAGCCAUCCCCUCAGAAAGCGUUAAAGCUCAGAUAUACUUCAACCCCUUUAUACGGAUCAUUAAAUCUCACCCCCCUAAUUUUACCAGGCCGUCCCAUGCAAACAUGGGAGUGACCCUGCUAAUAUGAGUAAUAAGAGAGCCUAAGACUCUCUCCUUGCACGUGUGUACAUCGAAACGGACACCCCUCCGAACUUUAACGGCCCCAACCCCAGAGGGCACUGAAUAACAGAUCAAAGAACCAGAAAAACAUUCAAUAACCAACCGUUAACCCCACACAGGCGUGCCCCUAAGGAAAGACUAAAAGAAAGAGAAGGAACUCGGCAAACACAUCAAGCCUCGCCUGUUUACCAAAAACAUCGCCUCUUGUAAAACUUAAAAAUAAGAGGUCCCGCCUGCCCUGUGACUAUAAGUUUAACGGCCGCGGUAUUUUGACCGUGCGAAGGUAGCGCAAUCACUUGUCUUUUAAAUGGAGACCUGUAUGAAUGGCAUAACGAGGGCUUAAC
rnacentral:rRNA from 1 species